rnacentral:misc_RNA from 1 species
GAUGAUGAUGAGGAGGAGGAGGAGUUGGAGGAGGAGGAUGGGGAGAAUCAGGUGGUGCCAUGGUCAGUUACCUCGCCUUCACCUCCGGUGGCGAGUUCUUCGAGCAGCGAAGAGGAAAUUUCGAGUAGAUUUUUGGGAGCGAGUGCGGCGGCGUUGAAGCGGAUUCGAGAGAGUAAUGCAGAUCUUGAUUCUGAUGAUGAGAAUGGAUGCUCCUCUUCUCAUUUGGGCUGUGGAAGACUAAGCAACGAAGAAGGGAAUUCAAUGGCUUCAUUUAGACCAUUGAAGCAAGCAAGGACGAUCGGUGGCGUUGGAGCUCGAGGUGGUGAAGUAGAAGAUGAUCAUGAUCAUAAUCAUGGUCAAGCAGAGUCAAGAUCAACCGCCAUUAUUGACUCCCUCAAGAGACUCCAGAACGAAAUGGUAUCCAACAGAGAAAGCGCAUCUGCAACCAUUCUUGGCAUUAGCAGAUUGUGCAGAGAUCGCAAUCGUUGAUUUCAAUCCAACUAAGUCUUUCUUUCACCAUUGUAUAACCAUACAUUUCGUGAUCAAUUUUCAGUAAUAUUAAUUAUUUAGUUGCUAUCAUAAUUUGCAAAUCCAGCUCUUUUUUUUUUUUUUUUUU